rnacentral:rRNA from 1 species
GACGAACGCUGGCGGCGUGCCUAAUACAUGCAAGUCGAACGCUUCCUACCGGUGCUUGCACCGGGAAAGAAGAGUGGCGGACGGGUGAGUAACACGUGGGUAACCUACCUACAAGCGGGGGAUAACAUUCGGAAACGGAUGCUAAUACCGCAUAGAUCUUUUUGUCUCCUGGCAGAAAGAAGAAAGACGGUUUCGGCUGCCACUUGUAGAUGGACCCGCGGCGCAUUAGUUAGUUGGUGAGGUAAUGGCUCACCAAGACGAUGAUGCGUAGCCGACCUGAGAGGGUGAUCGGCCACACUGGGACUGAGACACGGCCCAGACUCCUACGGGAGGCAGCAGUAGGGAAUCUUCCGCAAUGGACGAAAGUCUGACGGAGCAACGCCGCGUGAGUGAAGAAGGUUUUCGGAUCGUAAAACUCUGUUGUUAGAGAAGAACAAGGAUGAGAGUAACUGCUCGUCCCUUGACGGUAUCUAACCAGAAAGCCAUGGCUAACUACGUGCCAGCAGCCGCGGUAAUACGUAGAUGGCAAGCGUUGUCCGGAUUUAUUGGGCGUAAAGCGAGCGCAGGCGGUUCUUUAAGUCUGAUGUGAAAGCCCCUGGCUCAACCAGGGAGGGUCAUUGGAAACUGGAGAACUUGAGUGCAGAAGAGGAAAGUGGAAUUCCAUGUGUAGCGGUGAAAUGCGUAGAUAUAUGGAGGAACACCAGUGGCGAACGCGACUUUCUGGUCUGCAACUGGCGCGGAGGCUCGAAAGCAUGGGGAGCAAACAGGAUUAGAUACCCUGGUAGUCCAUGCCGUAAACGAUG